rnacentral:misc_RNA from 1 species
CACACCGAAAACUGCACAGCCCUACCUAAAUCUAUCUAUCUUUGCUCUUUCUAACAGUAUAUGUUUUUCAAUCAGAUAAAUUUCAAUAACCAUCCUUAAACUUUAGGGAUUGUAACAAAGCUAUCAUUAAACAUAAAACUCUUGAACUUUGAAAUUUUGCAUAGUAAAAUCAUUUUGACUCCCAAUAGGUGGUUUAUAAAACCCAAGUGACAAUAACAUGAACAAUUCUCUCUCCUCUAUGUGAAAGUUGCAAAAGCAACUAUGAUUUUCUUAACAUAUCAACUAUAAAAGAAUCUCAACCGUACGGAAUAAUGAAGUGCUAGAUGUAUAGCAGCUGAUUAGAGGGACUUCACCUCUAAAAAACAACAGCAAUUGUCCAUGUUAUCACUACUCUGAAUUGUCUACAUUAGCGUAUUAAGCGUGUUACUUAUAAACUGACUAUUGAAAGUUAGAAAGAUUUUAUUGUGCACGAUUUUAAAGUUCAUAGGGUUUUAUAUUAUAUUUUUAAGU